UACGGAGGGUGCAAGCGUUAUCCGGAUUCACUGGGUUUAAAGGGUGCGUAGGUGGGCAGGUAAGUCAGUGGUGAAAUCUCCGGGCUUAACUCGGAAACUGCCAUUGAUACUAUCUUUCUUGAAUACCGUGGAGGUCAGCGGAAUAUGUCAUGUAGCGGUGAAAUGCUUAGAUAUGACAUAGAACACCAAUUGCGAAGGCAGCUGGCUACACGAAUAUUGACACUGAUGCACGAAAGCGUGGGGAUCAAACAGGG
rnacentral:rRNA from 1 species